rnacentral:lncRNA from 1 species
GGCACUGCAGCUUCUGCUUCCGCUAUAUCAGUGAAUUUGUGUUUAAGAUGAGGGCCUACAGCCAUGUGGAUCGUGUGAGAUUUGCUUAUUAUUUGAACCCAUCAAGGAUUCAGGAUGUGAUAUGCCGGGGAGCAGACCUUUUUGAUAUGCUUCCGGAGGAGUAUACUUUCAGGGAAAUUAUAGCGAAGUUGGGGGCGAUACCCCAUUCAUAUUCAGCAGUUCAUCUUCCUGGGUAUCUCCUUCAGAAUAUUGACAAGUACAAAUAUCUUCUUCCUGGGAACUGCAAAAGAGAACCAGGGUGAUAAGCAUCAAAAACCGUUCUUGAAUAUUACAAGAAAGAUUUCUUCAAAGUUGAUGAUGGUGAUAUUGCGCGUGUUCUCAACAUGAGCAUCUGACUUGGAAGAAUCUUAUUGAGGGAGGUUGGCAGGAAGAGACGAGUUCUUUCAUAUACAUGUGAAAGUAUAUUUGAAAAUUCUUAGUUUCUAGUCAUGUUUCUAGAGGCAAAUUCAUUUGCCAAAGGAGUCUGUUCUGGGACUAUAGCCACCAUGGGAAGUUUUACGUCUCUUCUUCCCUUAUUGGUAUGUAAUCACACCCUGAUAGUUGGAGGAUGCAUAUAAAGUGAUGUUUGAAAUGCUUUCCGUGCUGGAAAUUUUUUGUACUAAUUUAAUUAUGUACUAUUUCUUCAAUUUACUGACAUGCUUCCAUUGACUACUCUCAAUUGGUUAUCGAACUGCUUUUUUUGAUAGUUCUGGUGUAUUGAUUAAAGAAAUAUCUUUUGACAACCUUUAAUUUAUUGUCAUCGUUUAUAGUUACUUUUGUUGGACAUAUAGGGGAGCCCUUGUUACUGAAGUACCACAACAUUUUCAAGCAAUUGUUCUGAGCUUUUUACUGGUUAAAACAGUAUGAGAUAUUAGUUUGUUUGUGAAUAAUAUUCUCAUAUGCAAGUAUAUUGAUGAUGUCAUGCAUGCAAGUUCAAACUACACCCUAGGAUAUGCCACAAGAAAGAUGAACUCCUUUUGAAAACUAAUCCUUUUUCCUGUUAAUUUUAUUUUGAUGUAAUAGGAGUAUGAGUCAUGCUUCUGCAUGCAUAGUAGCUUAAUUAAAUAUAACUAGAAGACACGGCACUUAUUCCAAUAGAAGGUUAAGGUACUUCCACAAAUAGAAGUGAGGUCUAAUACUAUUGCUGAACUGAAUGCAUCUUAUUGCUUGGAGUCGAACUGGGAAUGGUAUUACAUGCCUAUAUAUCUUUUUGAUAUAUUUUUAAGUUUCUUAAAAUUAUGAAAUAUGGAUGUGGUAUUCAUAUCCUUAAGAUACGAAUAUGUAGGUCUUGUAUUCUUAAGAUAUGUUUGACUGCAACAAUAUAGUGCCAUGUGUCUAAUUUUCUUAUUUAGUUUGGUCAAGAAAUUUACAUCUUGACUAGUACGUAGUUUCUUUUGGGGGAUAAGGAAGAAAGUAUCUUUUGAAGGGGGUUCCCCAUCCUUGAAGUGAUGGUUGGGGGUGCUUGGAUGGCCGAACAACUUAUCCUCAGGAUAAGGCUUAUAUAGAGUUACAUAUGAGGAGAUAAAUGCCCAAAAGGAAAAAACAUUGAGAUAGGAGGCCCUUCCUUGCACACAAUCCCCAAAAAAGGGGAUUAUCCAUUCAGUCUGAAAGUUGCUUUAUCUCGUUCUCCUCUUUCCUCAAUUUUAUGACCCUAAAACUUCUCUAAUUAGAGAAGUUUCUUUCUAGCCAAUGCUAACAUUUUGCAAGCAUCAGCCAUAUAAGGAAUAUCCAUCGGACAACUUGUGCAGGCAUCCACUCAGGCCUCUUAGGAAGUUGCAGUCCCCCUCAAAGCAUGCAUUUUCUCCUCUCCUUUUUUGAUCUAUUAUCAGGGCAUCAGUAAUAGGGCAUCAUCCUUUUUAUAUUGAUGGUUGGAUGAAUCUGGGCGAAGUUGCAGCCCCCCUCAAAGCAAACAUUCUCUCCUCUCCUUUUUUAUCUAUUAUCAGGGCAUCAGUAUCAGGGCAUCAUCCUUUUUAUAUUGAUGGUUGGAUGAAUCUGGGCAAUUGUGGAGAGGGAGCUCAAAAUUUUGAGAGGGAGGAGGACUUUCUUGCCAUGUUCUAAUCGUAUCAUAGCUUUCGGAGCAGAUGGACAAGAUGAACAGGACAUGGGUGAAACUUGUUUAUCACAUGGCUAGCCUAUAUCAAUCUAAAAAAAUUCUGCUAGAAAUUAUAUUUGGAUGCAUCAUCACUAGAUCCAUCUAGUUCUUAAGACCAAAAUGCAAUGAGUUGAAGUUAUGGUGGAACUAGGAUCGAAGCUUACACGGUUAAUAUGAUGUUUCAUAAAUUUGAGGUGAGGAUAUGGUGGAAUGGGUGCUUUAAGCAGAACAAAUCAAUAGAAACAAGAAAUUGCAGAGGAACUGAUGGUUUUGCUGGUCUGGUGCAUCCUCUUGGGGAUGAUAUCCAUGGUUCCCAUGGAUGGAGAGGAUUGUGGAAGGAGUAUCAUGGUCACACUUUGUGACCAAUGAAUGCAAAUAAUGAUAGAUACUGUAGCACAAGUUGCUGAGGCUUCUUGCACAUGCUGUAGCACCAGACUGGUUUGUAACCCAGGAAAUGAUUGACAAAUAAAAUGCACUCUAAUGAACUCCAUAUGUGAACUUGGAUAGGACUAUACUAGUAAAGUGAAUGUAACUCAGCUUUAGUGCUCAUAUGUUGCACCAAUGUAAAUGUUAAACUUCUUUUUUUCUAUGGAAAUAUUUUACCUUAUUCAACCAUUUGUUGACGAUUACCAACAUCACAGACUUUCUUUCUCCAGAGCUAUUCCAAUGGUUUAAAAAAAAAAUGUUUGCAUAUAAAGAGGUCCGUGAUCAUGAAAUACUAUGAUUAUUGGCCUUGGACAAUAUGCUUAUCAACUGGUCUAGGAUAUGAUCCUUCUCCACUGGCUGGAAUGAUUUGACUUGGUACCAAAUUCACAAACUGGAGGAAAAAGAAAUCGCUGAUGCAGUAGAUUGAUUUACUUAUUAUUAAAUCUACAACCAUUUGCUUGCUUAUCUUCAUCUAUAUAUUGGAGAACCUCCUUAACUCAAGGGCCCAAAUUUCUGGUACUGAUGCCUUGAAAUGAAUGACUUUUACUAUCUUAUAAUCCCAGCUUGUAACCCCAGACUAAGAUCUUUGGGUUCUGAGGAAACACUAGAGGCCAAUUCACCGGGGGAAGCCCCAUUCUAAACCUUUCUUGUCAUUCAUAAAAGAGGUUACCCUUGUAUAGUGACCAUCCAAACUUUUCCAGAAAGGUGCAAAAUUUUUCAGUUAAACUGCAGCAGAUGGAACAGAGAUUGGAACAUACUCUGUAGAAUACAGAGACCCUCUCUUUCUACGAGGUGCACCAGCUACCAAGCUGUUCCUCUAUCAGAUUCAGUCCUGGCAUGGCUCAUGAAACUAAUGGAGCUGGCUUCCAAUCUCUAUCUUGAAUUAUAGUCAAUAUAUGUUGGCAGUCUGAGUUAGUACUGGGAAAGUUUUCUGCGAUUAUUCGAGUCUCUGAUCUACUUUCUCUAGUGGUCACUAGAUCACAUACGUGGCAUCGACCAUGGCGUCGGUCGGUGCUUUCCUUCAAAGCUUGGCGGUCCGGCGAAUAUGAAAAAGAUACUUCUAAUUGAGGAUGAAGAUGAAAAUGGUCGCUCCAUAUGCAAGAAUUCUCUGAGCUGCUUGACACAGACAAAAGUUAGAGAAUAAGAUGCACUUCUUAUCUUCAAGGAAUAAAUUCCAUAUGCUUGGUCUAUAAAAAGAGGGAGAUGGGAGCUCAGAAACCAAACUGGCCUCAACUCUUCUAAAACUAGCUUCAAGUAGGAGGUUGCAAAGUCUGUACAAUGUCUCUCAGGAGCCGCCGCCACCCACAUCAAUACCAGGAGAGCAGGUCUUCCUCAGAGGAUGAUUACUGCGCCUACGUGACGAAAAUAGAGAGGAAGACGAGCAUGGUUGAAGGGCCCUACUUCCCCCAUCUUCAGACUGUGUUCAAGCAGAAGGAAGUCCAUGAGGAGGAGGAGAAGUCCCAGCCUGGGCUGUUCGGCCGGCCGAGGCAGAAGGAGUGGUUUGAAGAGAAGGAGACAUAUGAAGUCUCUAAGACCUAGGACAUGGCCUUGCAAGGAGGAGAGUGCAUCAGGUGCAAUCAGUUGGUGGCUGUCAAGGAAGCUUAAGCAUUAUCUAUAGUUAUGUGGUGAUAGACAUGCUAUGGCUUUGCACCUUUAUAAAAUAAAUCUCUGGCUCUUCUGUUCUGCAUCCUAUCCAUUUGAAUAAUACUGUAGUUCUCUAGUAUCAAUGAAGGUAUACUUCCAUAUUUUAGCCUAAAACUUUCACUCUUAUAUGUUUCUCAGGUAGAUGUUUGAGAAGUCUAUGACAACC